GACACUUUGCCAGAGCGGUUAAUGGGUCAGCCUGCUAGAAUAGGAAUGAUCUGUGAAGAUCGAUUCCGCCCUAGGAAGCUGAUGGGUUCGCCCGCGCAGGUUCGAAUCCUGCAGGUGUCG